rnacentral:rRNA from 1 species
AACGAACGCUGGCGGCAGGCCUAACACAUGCAAGUCGAGCGCCCCGCAAGGGGAGCGGCGGACGGGUGAGUAACGCGUGGGAAUAUGCCCUUUGCUACGGAAUAGUCUCGGGAAACUGGGGGUAAUACCGUAUACGCCCUUUGGGGGGAAGAUUUAUCGGCGAAGGAUUAGCCCGCGUUGGAUUAGGUAGUUGGUGGGGUAAUGGCCUACCAAGCCGACGAUCCAUAGCUGGUUUGGGAGGAUGAUCAGCCACACUGGGACUGAGACACGGCCCAGACUCCUACGGAAGGCAGCAGUGGGGAAUCUUAGACAAGGAGGGCAACCCUGAUCUAGCCAUGCCGCGUGAGUGAUGAAGGCCUUAGGAUUGUAAAGCUCUUUCAGCUGGGAAGAUAAUGACGGUACCAGCAGAAGAAGCCCCGGCUAACUCCGUG